AGAGUUUGAUCCUGGCUCAGAUUGAACGCUGGCGGCAUGCCUUACACAUGCAAGUCGAACGGCAGCACGGGGGCAACCCUGGUGGCGAGUGGCGAACGGGUGAGUAAUACAUCGGAACGUGUCCUGUAGUGGGGGAUAGCCCGGCGAAAGCCGGAUUAAUACCGCAUACGCUCUACGGAGGAAAAGGGGGGAUCUUAGGACCUCCCGCUACAGGGGCGGCCGAUGGCAGAUUAGCUAGUUGGUGGGGUAAAGGCCUACCAAGGCGACGAUCUGUAGCUGGCCUGAGAGGACGACCAGCCACACUGGGACUGAGACACGGCCCAGACUCCUACGGGAGGCAGCAGUGGGGAAUUUUGGACAAUGGGGGCAACCCUGAUCCAGCAAUGCCGCGUGUGUGAAGAAGGCCUUCGGGUUGUAAAACACUUUUGUCCGGAAAGAAAACGCCGUGGUUAAUACCCGUGGCGGAUGACGGUACCGGAAGAAUAAGCACCGGCUAACUACGUGCCAGCAGCCGCGGUAAUACGUAGGGUG
rnacentral:rRNA from 1 species